UACAGAGGGGGCAAGCGUUGUUCGGAAUUACUGGGCGUAAAGGGCGCGUAGGCGGCCUGUUAAGUCGGACGUGAAAUCCCUCGGCUCAACCGGGGAACUGCGUCCGAUACUGGCGGGCUUGAAUUCGGGAGAGGGAUGUGGAAUUCCGGGUGUAGCGGUGAAAUGCGUAGAUAUCUGGAGGAACACCGGUGGCGAAGGCGGCAUCCUGGACCGACAUUGACGCUGAGGCGCGAAAGCCAGGGGAGCAAACGGG
rnacentral:rRNA from 1 species